rnacentral:rRNA from 1 species
UGGCUCAGGAUGAACGCUGGCGGCGUGCCUAACACAUGCAAGUCGGACGUGAGGGGUGUCUACGGAUGCCCUGAAAGUGGCGAACGGGUGAGUAACACGUAGAUAACCUGCCCUGGAGUGGGGGAUAACCACUGGAAACGGUGGCUAAUACCGCAUGAGCCCUGAAAGUCGGGAGGCUUUUGGGGGAAAGCUCCGGCGCUCCAGGAGGGGUCUGCGUCCGAUUAGCUAGUUGGCGGGGUAACGGCCCACCAAGGCGACGAUCGGUAGCUGGUCUGAGAGGACGAUCAGCCACACGGGAACUGAGACACGGUCCCGACUCCUACGGGGGGCAGCAGUGAGGAAUAUUGGGCAAUGGGCGCAAGCCUGACCCAGCAACGCCGCGUGGAGGAAGAAGGGCCUUCGGGGUUGUAAACUCCUUUUGCAGGGGGAAGAGAGAGGGACGGGUACCCUGCGAAUCAGUCACGGGCUAACUACGUGCCAGCAGCCGCGGGUAAG